GCGGCAGUUUUAACCCCAUAACCAACAUGCACUUACGUCUUUUUGUUAUGGAAUAACAACAAGGAGAACUCUUCCACUCAACUCCGUUGAUUCCCCUCUGGCUUCUCUAAGCAGUCUUCCCAUACUGACCACUAUGAGAGCUUGCCCGUGAUCAUCUGGAGAGGACAGGUCUCUAUAAAGUGAUCGAAGGGAUCAUGUCGCCAACAAAUGACAGAUAUGGUAAAAAGGGAUUGGUGCCCAGUACAGAUAGGAUUGCCAUGGCACAACUGGCAGUUGCUACUUCAGACUGGGUGAGAGUGGACAGUUGGGAGAGUGAACAGGACAGCUGGCUGUCAUCUGUUGUGGUGGCCAGGCACAUGAAACGGCAGGUCCAGAACAAGUACGGCAGCGUGACAGAGUCGGAAACAGACGGGCCAUCCAGGAAGAGGAGGAAAACACAACACAACGGUACUCAACCUUUUGUCAUGUUUCCUAGUACAUAAUCAAAAAUGUAUGCUUCAUAACUUCUGAGCAGCAUUCUAAGGUGCACAGUGGAAAAUUGGGGUACUGCAGUAUUCAUUGUACUUUUGUCAUGUUUUUUAGUAAUCAAGAAAAUUCACUAUGGUCCACAACUUCUGAGCAGCAUUUUAUGAGUUUGGAAAGGCUUGAGGUGUCUCAGGAAACUUGGACACUGCAAAUGCAAUAUUCAUGGUGGUUUUAUGUUUCUGGAUUUCAUACUGAGCAGUCUUACUACUGUUUUACUGUAUUGUUUCAACCACAAUCUUAAAACACUUCAGACACCGCCUUUCCAUCCCAGCAAAAUCAAGUUCCCUCUAUUAAACUUAAAACAAUUCAUCCAGUUCCUUUCAAUUGUUGGAUCUACAGAUUCAUCUGUUUUGACAUUCUGAUUUCCAUAGAAUGAGUGUGUUACAUUUACAGUCUAUCAUCCAGAUUGUUUCAUCAAGUUGGUAAAUAAACUGGCUUUUUGAAUAAAUAACGUAUGCACUAGCCAGGUAAAAUUCUUUUGGUUGUGUAGCCAGUAUAUAUUGGAAUUAAUAUAUUUGUA